CCGCUAAGGGCAUGGACAAUGGACAAACUGGUUGUUACUUUGAUGGCAAAGUGUACCAGACUGGGGAGAAGAUCAUCAUCCCUCCAUGCCUGGGCGAGAUGACAUGUUUGGGAAGAAACAAUUACUCACCUAUAACCCAAUUAGGUGGAAUCUGUCCGGACCAAUAAAUCGCAUCUCAUACCAUGGCGUGUCAGUCACGUGCUCCUUCCUCGCUCAUG